UGGUUAAUGCAGCUGGGAUUUCUGGUACUAUGUUGUAUAAUAGUGGUGAGAGUGGACAUCCUUGUCCUGUUCCUGAUCUCAGGGAAAAACCUUUUAG